UGAACGCUGGCGGCGUGCCUAAUACAUGCAAGUCGAGCGAACGGACGAGAAGCUUGCUUCUCUGAUGUUAGCGGCGGACGGGUGAGUAACACGUGGAUAACCUACCUAUAAGACUGGGAUAACUUCGGGAAACCGGAGCUAAUACCGGAUAAUAUUUUGAACCGCAUGGUUCAAAAGUGAAAGACGGUCUUGCUGUCACUUAUAGAUGGAUCCGCGCUGCAUUAGCUAGUUGGUAAGGUAACGGCUUACCAAGGCAACGAUGCAUAGCCGACCUGAGAGGGUGAUCGGCCACACUGGAACUGAGACACGGUCCAGACUCCUACGGGAGGCAGCAGUAGGGAAUCUUCCGCAAUGGGCGAAAGCCUGACGGAGCAACGCCGCGUGAGUGAUGAAGGUCUUCGGAUCGUAAAACUCUGUUAUUAGGGAAGAACAUAUGUGUAAGUAACUGUGCACAUCUUGACGGUACCUAAUCAGAAAGCCACGGCUAGCUACGUG
rnacentral:rRNA from 1 species